rnacentral:sRNA from 1 species
GCUGGGUGUGGUGGCUCAUACCUAUAAUCCUAGCAACUUGGGAGGCUGAGGCAGGAGGACUGCAGGUCUAAUGCCCAUUUGAGUAACUUAGUGAGACCCUAUCUCAA